rnacentral:rRNA from 1 species
UACGUAGGCAGCGAGCGUUGUUCGGAGUUACUGGGCGUAAAGGGUGCGUAGGCGGUUGUUUAAGUUUGGUGUGAAAUCUCCCGGCUCAACUGGGAGGGUGCGCCGAAUACUGAAUGACUAGAGUGCGGGAGAGGAUAGUGGAAUUCCUGGUGUAGCGGUGAAAUGCGUAGAUAUCUGGAGGAACACCGGUGGCGAAGGCGGCAUCCUGGACCGGCAUUGACGCUCAGGCGCGACAGCGUGGGGAGCAAACAGG